UACGGAGGGUGCAAGCGUUAUCCGGAUUCACUGGGUUUAAAGGGUGCGUAGGUGGGCAGUUAAGUCAGUGGUGAAAUCUCCGGGCUCAACCCGGAAACUGCCAUUGAUACUAUCUGUCUUGAAUAUCGUGGAGGUAAGCGGAAUAUGUCAUGUAGCGGUGAAAUGCUUAGAUAUGACAUAAAACACCAAUUGCGAAGGCAGCUUACUACCCGAAUAUUGACACUGAGGCACGAAAGCGUGGGGAUCAAACAGG
rnacentral:rRNA from 1 species